rnacentral:rRNA from 1 species
GCUGAAGGAGGAGCUUGCUUCUCUGGAUGAGUUGCGAACGGGUGAGUAACGCGUAGGUAACCUGCCUGGUAGCGGGGGAUAACUAUUGUAAACGAUAGCUAAUACCGCAUAAGAGUAAAUGUUGCAUGACAUUUGCUUAAAAGGUGCACUUGCAUCACUACCAGAUGGACCUGCGUUGUAUUAGCUAGUUGGUGGGGUAACGGCUCACCAAGGCGACGAUACAUAGCCGACCUGAGAGGGUGAUCGGCCACACUGGGACUGAGACACGGCCCAGACUCCUACGGGAGGCAGCAGUAGGGAAUCUUCGGCAAUGGACGGAAGUCUGACCGAGCAACGCCGCGUGAGUGAAGAAGGUUUUCGGAUCGUAAAGCUCUGUUGUAAGAGAAGAACGAGUGUGAGAGUGGAAAGUUCACACUGUGACGGUAUCUUACCAGAAAGGGACGGCUAACUACGUGCCAGCAGCCGCGGUAAUACGUAGGUCCCGAGCGUUGUCCGGAUUUAUUGGGCGUAAAGCGAGCGCAGGCGGUUAGAUAAGUCUG